rnacentral:rRNA from 1 species
AUUGAACGCUGGCGGCAGGCCUAACACAUGCAAGUCGAGCGGAGCGGCGGACGGGUGAGUAAUGCCUAGGAAUCUGCCUGGUCGUGGGGGAUAACGUCCGGAAACGGGCGCUAAUACCGCAUACUAUCACAUGAGCCUAGGUCGGAUUAGCUCGUUGGUGGGGUAAAGGCCUACCAAGGCGACGAUCCCUAGCUGGUCUGAGAGGAUGACCAGCCACACUGGAUCUGUGCCGCGGUCCAGACUCCUUAGGGAGGCAGCAGUGAGGAAUAUUGCACAAUGGGCGCAAGCCUGAUGCAGCCAUGCCGCGUGUGUGCAGAAGGCCUUCGGGUUUUAAAGCACUCUCAGCGGGGAGGCGUUACCCGCAGAAGAAGCACCGGCUAACUCCGUGCCAGCAGCCGCGGUAAUUC